UACAGAGGGGGCAAGCGUUGUUCGGAAUUACUGGGCGUAAAGGGCGCGUAGGCGGCCUUCUAAGUCGAACGUGAAAUCCCCGGGCUCAACCCGGGAACUGCGUCCGAUACUGGAAGGCUUGAAUCCGGGAGAGGGAUGCGGAAUUCCAGGUGUAGCGGUGAAAUGCGUAGAUAUCUGGAGGAACACCGGUGGCGAAGGCGGCAUCCUGGACCGGCAUUGACACUGAUGAGCGAAAGCUAGGGGAGCAAACGGG
rnacentral:rRNA from 1 species